ensembl:misc_RNA Metazoa_SRP Metazoan signal recognition particle RNA
GCCGGGCGCGGUGGCGCGCGCCUGUAAUCCCAGCUACUCGGGAGGCUGAGGCUGGAGGAUCACUUGAGCUCAGGAGUUCUGGGCUGCAGUGCGCUAUGCCGAUCGGGUGUCCACACUAAGUUCAGCAUCAAUAUGGUGACCUCCCGGGAGCGGGGGGCCACCAGGUUGCCUAAGGAGGGGUGAACUGGCCCAGGUCGGAAACGGAGCAGGACAAAACUCCCGUGCUGAUCAGAAGUGGGAUCGCGCCUGUGAAUAGCCACUGUACUCCAGCCUGGGCAAUAUAGCGAGACCCUGUCUCU